rnacentral:lncRNA from 1 species
GUGGGGAGUGGAGCAGAGUUGUGGCCGUUACUGUGGCCUGCCAGGGGGUCCAGACUUGUCGGCCGAAGUUCGGUUGGAGUCUGAUUUCUGUAGAAGCCCGGAUGGGGAUCAUUUGUCGAGGAAUCUCGACCGAGACCUUCAGCAAGAGUUCAGAGCAAAAGUCUGGCUUCCGUGGGAGCCCGGACAAAGCCUACCUGUAGCUGGAGUCGGAGACGAAGUCCGGCUCCCGUAGG